rnacentral:rRNA from 1 species
GUAGGUGGCAAGCGUUGUCCGGAAUUAUUGGGCGUAAAGCGCGCGCAGGUGGUUCUUUAGGUCUGAUGUGAAAGCCCCCGGCUCAACCGGGGAGGGUCAUUGGAAACUGGGGAACUUGAGUGCAGGAGAGGAAAGUGGAAUUCCACGUGUAGCGGUGAAAUGCGUAGAUAUGUGGAGGAACACCAGUGGCGAAGGCGACUUUCUGGCCUGUAACUGACACUGAGGCGCGAAGCGUGGGGAGCAAACAGGGAUUAGAUACCCUGGUAGUCCACGCCGUAAACGAUGAGUGCUAAGUGUUGGGGGGGUUUCCCGCCCCUCAGUGCUGCAGCUAACGCAUUAAGCACUCCGCCUGGGGAGUACGGUCGCAAGACUG